rnacentral:rRNA from 1 species
AAAACUCUAAGCGGUGGAUCACUCGGCUCAUGGUCGAUGAAGAACGCAGCAAACUGUGCGUCAUCGUGUGAACUGCAGGACACAUGAACAUCGACAUUUUGAACGCAUAUCGCAGUCCAUGCUGUUAUGUACUUUAAUUAAUUUUAAAGUGCUGCUUGGACUACAUAUGGUUGAGGGUUGUAAGACUAUGCAAAAUAAGUUGUUCAUAAUUUCAUUUCAUGAUUUUAUAAGCACAUGGUAUAUUAUUGGGUAUAAUAAUUAUUAAUUGUUAUAUUCAUAAUAUUAAAAAUUAUAUGAAAAACAUUAUCUCACAUUGUUGUAAAUAUUUGAAUGUGAAAACGAAGAGAAAUAUUUUCUUUUUUUUAAAUCAAUAAUAUGAGAAAUGUCUAGCAUAAAAAUGUAAAAUAUUUUUCAUCUAGAAUUGUCUCUAUUAAUGAUGCAAAAAAUCGAAAAAUGUUGCUAAUGUAUUAUUCUUCGUUUGGUUGUUAAAAAAUAACAAUUUAAAUAUAUAAUGUUUUCUCUAUAUAAAAAGAAUUAAUGCUAAUAAAUGUUUAUACAACCUCAACUCAUAUGGGACUACCCCCUGAAUUUAAGCAAUUAAUUAGGGGAGGAAAGAACUAACAAGGAUUUCUUAGUAGCGGCGAGCGAAAAGAAAUCAGUUCAGCACUAAGUCACUUGUCUAUAUGGCAAAUGUGAGAUGCAGUGUAUGGAGCGUCAAUAUUCUAGUAUGAGAAAUUAACGAUUUAAGUCCUUCUUAAAUGAGGCAUUACCCAUAGAGGGUGCCAGGCCCGUAUAACGUUAAUGAUUACUAGAUGAUGUUUCCAAGAGUCGUGUUGCUUGAUAGUGCAGCACUAAGUGGGUGGUAAACUCCAUCUAAAACUAAAUAUAACCAUGAGACCGAUAGUAAACAAGUACCGUGAGGGAAAGUUGAAAAGAACUCUGAAUAAGAGUUAAACAGUACGUGAAACUGCUUAGAGGUUAAGCCCGAUGAACCUGAAUAUCCGUAUGGAAAAUUCAUCAUUAGACUGUAGUAUUUAAACAAUAUUAUGAUAAUAGUGUGCAUUUUUUCCAUAUAAGGACAUUGUAAUCUAUUAACAUAACUAAAUUUAUCAUAAAAUAUGGCUUAUAGUUUAUUCAAAUUAUAUGCUUGCAUUUUAACAUAGAAUAAAUGUCAUUAUUUGAUAAAGUGCUGAUAGAUUUAUAUGACUACAGUGCGUUAAUUUUUCGGAAUUAAUAAUGGCAUAAUUAUCAUUGAUUUUGUGUUUAUUAUAGCACUUGUACGAUAACAAUGCGAAAGAUCAGGAUACCUUCGGGACCCGUCUUGAAACACGGACCAAGGAGUCUAACAUAUGUGCAAGUUAUUGGGAUAUAACCUAAUAGCGUAAUUAACUGACUAAUAAUGGGAUUAGUUUUUUAACUAUUUAUAGCUAAUUAACAAUCCCGGGGCGUUCUAUAUAGUUAUGUAUAAUAAUAUUAUAUUAUUUAUGCCUCUAACUGGAACGUACCUUGAGCAGAUAUGCUGUGACCCGAAAGAUGGUGAACUAUACUUGAUCAGGUUGAAGUCAGGGGAAACCCUGAUGGAAGACCGAAACAGUUCGACGUGCAAAUCGAUUGUCAGAAUGAGUAUAGGGGCGAAAGACCAAUCGAACCAUCUAGUAGCUGGUUCCUCCGAAGUUUCCCUCAGGAUAGCUGGUGCAUUUAAUGUUAUAAAAUAAUCUUAUCUGGUAAAGCGAAUGAUUAGAGGCCUUAGGGUCGAAACGAUCUUAACCUAUUCUCAAACUUUAAAUGGGUAAGAACCUUAACUUUCUUGAUAUGAAGUUUAAGGUUAUGAUAUAAUGUGCCCAGUGGGCCACUUUUGGUAAGCAGAACUGGCGCUGUGGGAUAACCAAACGUAAUGUUACGGUGCCCAAUUAACAACUCAUGCAGAUACCAUGAAAGGCGUUGGUUGCUUAAAACAGCAGGACGGUGAUCAUGGAAUCGAAAUCCGCUAAGGAGUGUGUAACAACUCACCUGCCGAAGCAACUAGCCCUUAAAUGGAUGGCGCUUAAGUUGUAUACCUAUACAUACCGCUAAAGUAAUAUUUAAUAUGUAAUAAAUUUGAAACUUUGGAGGAAGUACAUGGUGCGUAAAGUGUUGGUAAGCCUGCAUGGAGCGCCAUUGGACAGUUGGGUAGCAAAUAACAAUGAGACCUUGGAGACUGAAGUGAGAAGGUUUCGUGUGAACAGUGGUUGAUCACGAGUUAGUCGUCCUAAGUUCAAGGCAAAGCCGAAAAUUUUCAAGUAAUAAAAGACUAUAUAUUACAAAAAGCCAAUAAUAACUUGAAUAAUUUGAACGAAAGGGAAUACGGUUCCAAUUCCGUAACCUGUUGAGUAUCCGUUUGUUAUUAAAUAUGGGCCUCGUGCUCAUCCUGGCAACAGGAACGACCAUAAAGAAGCCGUCGAGAGAUAUCGGAAGAGUUUUCUUUUCUGUUUUAUAGCGUACUACCAUGGAAGUCUUUCGCAGAGAGAUAUGGUAGAUGGGCUAGAAGAGCAUGACAUAUACUGUUGUGUCGAUAUUUUCUCCUCGGACCUUGAAAAUUUAUGGUGGGGAUACGCAAACUUCUCAACAGGCCGUACCAAUAUCCGCAGCUGGUCUCCAAGGUGAAGAGUCUCUAGUCGAUAGAAUAAUGUAGGUAAGGGAAGUCGGCAAAUUAGAUCCGUAACUUCGGGAUAAGGAUUGGCUCUGAAGAUUGAGAUAGUCGGGCUUGAUUGGGAAACAAUAACAUGGUUUAUGUGCUCGUUCUGGGUAAAUAGAGUUUCUAUCAUUUAUGUUAGUUGCUUGUUCCCCGGAUAGUUUAGUUACGUAGCCAAUUGUGGAACUUUCUUGCUAAAAUUUUUAAGAAUACUAGUUGGGUCAAACCAAUUAGUUCUUAUUAAUUAUAACGAUUAUCAAUUAACAAUCAAUUCAGAACUGGCACGGACUUGGGGAAUCCGACUGUCUAAUUAAAACAAAGCAUUGUGAUGGCCUAGCGGGUGUUGACACAAUGUGAUUUCUGCCCAGUGCUCUGAAUGUCAAAGUGAAGAAAUUCAAGUAAGCGCGGGUCAACGGCGGAGUAACUAUGACUCUCUUUAAGGAAGAUGGAGCUCUUUAUCAGGGUGUGGAUCCUUGGAGCUCCGGGUCUGGUUGUAUGCAGAAGGGGUGAAAUUCCGAAAUUCAUUAGUCAUGCAAUCAGAUCAAGUCGACUCGAAACCUCCUCGUGGUAUCUUCCGGUACUAAGCAGUUAUCUGUUUAGUAGCAGAUUCGAGCGGCGAAGUGUUCUCUGGGGUACCAGCCCCUUUGAACGUAUCCAUAUGGUAUCAAUGAUAAUACAGAGCCUCGAGACCUACAUCUGUGGUAAUUAGCCUAGAUGACCAUAUUGGAACAAGUGCUGGAAAUAACCCGUCUACUACGGUUACCUGCACGAUAUGUGGAAGGCACUUUAGCAGCAAAAUAGGGCUAGGUGUCCACAUGUCACGUCUUCACAAAAACGAGUUUGAUGAACUUCGUCGGCGUGAGACGUAAAUCUAAGAUGGAGUGAGGAAGAGAAGUGGAUGAUGGCGAGAAAGGAGUUCGAACUCGCAGCAGUGGUAUCUUAAGGCAUGCCAAUAAGCAACUAGCGGAAUUUUUUACACACCGCAGCGUCGAAGCUAUCAAGAAAAUUCGACAGAGGGUGACUAUAAGGCAAAAAUGGAACAGAUAAGAGGGCAAUCUGUUUCCACCCCAGAGUUGCAGAUACAAGAACCACACAGCGCCGCCCUAGUAAUAGCGAGCAAGAACACCGA